rnacentral:rRNA from 1 species
AGCUUGCUUCCGCUGACGACCGGCGCACGGGUGCGUAACGCGUAUGCAACCUACCUUUUACAGGGGGAUAGUCAAUAGAAAUGUUGAAUAAUACCCCAUACGAUCUUAGAGUAUCAUUACUUUAAGAAGAAAGCUUCGGCGGUAGAAGAUGGGCAUGCGUCCUAUUAGUUAGUUGGUAAGGUAACGGCUUACCAAGACUACGAUAGGUAGGGGCCCUGAGAGGGGGAUCCCCCACACUGGUACUGAGACACGGACCAGACUCCUACGGGAGGCAGCAGUGAGGAAUAUUGGACAAUGGAGGCAACUCUGAUCCAGCCAUGCCGCGUGCAGGAAGACUGCCCUAUGGGUUGUAAACUGCUUUUAUACAGGAAGAAACCUACUUACGUGUAAGUAGCUGACGGUACUGUAAGAAUAAGGAUCGGCUAACUCCGUGCCAGCAGCCGCGGUAAUACGGAGGAUCCAAGCGUUAUCCGGAAUCAUUGGGUUUAAAGGGUCCGUAGGUGGUUUAUUAAGUCAGAGGUGAAAUCCCAUAGCUCAACUAUGGAACUGCCUUUGAUACUGAUAGACUUGAGUUAUUGUGAAGUA